GGAUUAAGAUGAUGACGAAGUUCGAGAUUCAGAAAUUUGACAGGACAAACAGUUUCGCAUUAUGGCAAGUCAAGAUGCGUGCUAUAUUGACGCAGCAAGGAUUGCAGAAGGCACUGUUGGAAAAGGAAAAGAUACCGAUUCGUUAACGGCGGAGCAGAAAGAGGAGAUUGGUGACAAAGCUCUUACGGCAAUACAAUUCUGUUUAUCCGAUGAGGUAUUGUGCGAGG
rnacentral:lncRNA from 1 species